rnacentral:rRNA from 1 species
GUGGGGAAUAUUGCACAAUGGGGGAAACCCUGAUGCAGCGACGCCGCGUGAGCGAAGAAGUAUUUCGGUAUGUAAAGCUCUAUCAGCAGGGAAGAAGAAUGACGGUACCUGACUAAGAAGCACCGGCUAAAUACGUGCCAGCAGCCGCGGUAAUACGUAUGGUGCAAGCGUUAUCCGGAUUUACUGGGUGUAAAGGGAGCGCAGGCGGUGCGGCAAGUCUGAUGUGAAAGCCCGGGGCUCAACCCCGGUACUGCAUUGGAAACUGUCGUACUAGAGUGUCGGAGGGGUAAGUGGAAUUCCUAGUGUAGCGGUGAAAUGCGUAGAUAUUAGGAGGAACACCAGUGGCGAAGGCGGCUUACUGGACGAUAACUGACGCUGAGGCUCGAAAGCGUGGGGAGCAAACAGGAUUAGAUACCCUGGUAGUCC